rnacentral:rRNA from 1 species
CAAUAGCGUAUAUUAAAGUUGUUGCAGUUAAAAAGCUCGUAGUUGAAUUUUUGCUUGCCGCCGAUGUCGGAACUUCCGUACGUUCGGCGGCGUGCAUCCUUGGGUGGAACCUGUGUGGCAUUAGGUUGUCGUGCAGGGGAUGCUCAUCGUUUACUGUGAAAAAAUUAGAGUGUUCAAAGCAGGCUUAUGCCGUUGAAUAUAUUAGCACGGAAUAAUAAGAUAGGACCUUGGUACUAUUUUGUUGGUUUGCGCACCGAGGUAAUGAUUAACAGGGACAGUUGGGGGUAUUCGUAUUCCAUUGUCAGAGGUGAAAUUCUUGGAUUUCUGGAAGACGAACUACUGCGAAAGCAUUUACCAAGGAUGUUUUCAUUAA